rnacentral:lncRNA from 1 species
ACUUGAGGGGACCAUAAAACCAGACCCCCUGGCCCCUGGAGGAGACAAGUUCAUCAUAGAGUUGAGAGGAGCCCUCGAAGGAAUACCUCUCUUCUAAAUAAAAUUUCUUUUAGGCUUAGCGUCCAAUGUGAGUAGAAUUAGAUCUUCUAGUUUCUACUAGAUUGAGAGAGAUAGAGUGGAGGUGUAGAUCGGAGGAAGCCCGACC